AUGGAGGCAACUCUGAUCCAGCCAUGCCGCGUGCAGGAAGACGGCCCUAUGGGUUGUAAACUGCUUUUAUACAGGAAGAAUGUUACCUAUGCGUAGGUAUUUGACGGUACUGUAAGAAUAAGGAUCGGCUAACUCCGUGCCAGCAGCCGCGGUAAUACGGAGGAUCCAAGCGUUAUCCGGAAUCAUUGGGUUUAAAGGGUCCGCAGGCGGUUCAUUAAGUCAGAGGUGAAAUCCUACCGCUCAACGGUAGCAUUGCCUUUGAUACUGAUGGACUUGAGUUAUAGUGAAGUAGUUAGAAUGUGUAGUGUAGCGGUGAAAUGCAUAGAUAUUACACAGAAUACCGAUUGCGAAAGCAGAUUACUAACUGUAUACUGACGCUGAGGGACGAAAGCGUGGGUAGCGAACAGGAUUAGAUACCCUGGUAGUCCACGCCGUAAACGAUGGAUACUAGCUGUUCGGCCAACAAUGGUUGGUUGAGUGGCUAAGCGAAAGUGAUAAGUAUCCCACCUGGGGAGUACGCUCGCAAGAGUGAAACUCAAAGGAAUUGACGGGGGCCCGCACAAGCGGUGGAGCAUGUGGUUUAAUUCGAUGAUACGCGAGGAACCUUACCAGGGCUUAAAUGUAGGUUGCAUAAACCAGAGAUGGUUUUUUCUUCGGACCACCUACAAGGUGCUGCAUGGUUGUCGUCAGCUCGUGCCGUGAGGUGUCAGGUUAAGUCCUAUAACGAGCGCAACCCCUGUUGAUAGUUGCCAGCAAGUAAAGUUGGGUACUCUAACGAGACUGCCGGUGCAAACCGCGAGGAAGGUGGGGAUGACGUCAAAUCAUCACGGCCCUUACGUCCUGGGCUACACACGUGCUACAAUGGCCGGUACAGCGAGCAGCCACUACGCGAGUAGGAGCGAAUCUAUAAAACCGGUCUCAGUUCGGAUCGCAGUCUGCAACUCGACUGCGUGAAGCUGGAAUCGCUAGUAAUCGGAUAUCAGCCAUGAUCCGGUGAAUACGUUCCCGGGCCUUGUACACACCGCCCGUCAAGCCAUGGAAGCUGGGGGUACCUGAAGUCGGUGACCGCAAGGAGCUGCCUAGGGUAAAACUAGUAACUGGGGCUAAGUCGUAACAAGGUAGCCGUACCGGAAGGUGCGGCUGGAACACCUCCUUUCU
rnacentral:rRNA from 1 species